rnacentral:rRNA from 1 species
CCUACGGGCGGCAGCAGUGAGGAAUAUUGGUCAAUGGACGAGAGUCUGAACCAGCCAAGUAGCGUGAAGGAUGACUGCCCUCUGGGUUGUAAACUUCUUUUAUAUGGGAAUAAAACGUUCCACGUGUGGGUUUUUGUCUGUGCCAUAUGAAUACGGAUCGGCUAACUCCGUGCCAGCAGCCGCGGUAAUACGGAGGCUCCUAGCGUUAUACGGAUUUAUUGGGUUUAAAGGGAGCGUAUGUGGAUUGUUAAGUCAGUUGUGAAAGUUUGCGGCUCAACCGUAAAAUUGCAGUUGAGACUGGCAGUCUUGAGUACAGUAGAGGUGGGCGGAAUUCGUGGUGUAGCGGUGAAAUGCUUAGAUAUCACGAAGAACUCCGAUUGCGAAGGCAGUUCACUGGACUGCAACUGACACUGAGGCUCGAAAGUGUGGGUAUCAAACAGGAUUAGAUACCCUUGUAGUC